rnacentral:misc_RNA from 1 species
AAGUCGUAACAAGGUCUCCGUUGGUGAACCAGCGGAGGGAUCAUUACCAGAGUAGCCCUAGGCUCUCCAACCCACUGUGAACAUACCUAUCGUUCCCUCGGCGGGCUCAGCGCGCGCUGCCUCCGGGCUCCGGGCGUCCGCCGGGGACACCCAAACUCUGCUUUUAUUGUGAAUCUCUGAGGGGCGACAGCCCGAAAAACAAAAAUGAAUCAAAACUUUCAACAACGGAUCUCUUGGCUCUG